rnacentral:rRNA from 1 species
AUUGAACGCUGGCGGCAUGCCUUACACAUGCAAGUCGAACGGCAGCACGGGUGCUUGCACCUGGUGGCGAGUGGCGAACGGGUGAGUAAUACAUCGGAACGUACCUUAUCGUGGGGGAUAACGCAGCGAAAGCUGUGCUAAUACCGCAUACGCCCUGAGGGGGAAAGCGGGGGAUCGAAAGACCUCGCGCGAUUAGAGCGGCCGAUGCCUGAUUAGCUUGUUGGUGGGGUAAAAGCCCACCAAGGCGACGAUCAGUAGCUGGUUUGAGAGGACGAUCAGCCACACUGGGACUGAGACACAGCCCAGACUCCUACGGGAGGCAGCAGUGGGGAAUUUUGGACAAUGGGGGCAACCCUGAUCCAGCAAUGCCGCGUGAGUGAAGAAGGCCUUCGGGUUGUAAAGCUCUUUUGUCAGGGAAGAAACACCGGCUCUAACACAGUCCGGGAAUGACGGUACCUGAAGAAUAAGCACCGGCUAACUACGUGCCAGCCGCCGCGGUAA